rnacentral:rRNA from 1 species
AGGGAAUCUUCGGCAAUGGACGAAAGUCUGACCGAGCAACGCCGCGUGAGUGAAGAAGGUUUUCGGAUCGUAAAACUCUGUUGGUAGAGAAGAACGUUGGUGAGAGUGGAAAGCUCAUCAAGUGACGGUAACUACCCAGAAAGGGACGGCUAACUACGUGCCAGCAGCCGCGGUAAUACGUAGGUCCCGAGCGUUGUCCGGAUUUAUUGGGCGUAAAGCGAGCGCAGGUGGUUUAUUAAAGUCUGGUGU